rnacentral:tRNA from 1 species
UCCCUGGUGGCUCAGAUGGUAAAGAAUCUGCCUACAAUGCAGGAGACCCAGGUUCAAUCCCUGGAUGGGAAG